CCUAAAAUCUUGUUAGGUACCCACAUGGAAUUAGGCUUCGUCUUCUUCUUGCGCCUGCGACCUCGACUCUGAAAUUCCACAGACUUAAAGCGCCGUUCCGAUCUCCAAAGUCAAGAUUUAAGGGAGAUUUCGUCAUUAGAGAUCCAAAGAAGAUUUCAGACAGAUUCAAUCAAACCACAGUUUUCUUUUUUUCUCCCAGUUUUUGGUUGAUAGAAGCAUCCAUCGACAAACUCAAAAUGUCAUCGAUGAUAAGGAAGUUGGCACAUAGCUGGGUAGGGUCGCACCCGCCGAGAAGGUUGGCUAUCGGAUCCAUCACUUGAGUGGACCUCUCCUGGGAUUGAAACCGCUCUCGAAGGGUUGCAAGGGGGAGGAAGUGAAUUGUAUCCGGAGCAAGCUAAUGAGCCCGAGUGUAUCAUCUAUUACUCUCUUCGUCUAUUCAUUACCGGCGAAUGAAAAAAAAAGUGAUCAAGAACUCAUAAGCAGUCUGCACGAUUGUAUAUCUAUUUGUUAUGUAAUAGCAUAAUAGUCUGAAGUCUGACAAAGCUGAAGAAGAUAAUGAAGAACUCACUGAAACGUGUCGUCCUUAUAGGUCCUCGAUCAGAUUGGUGUUGCCCCUGCAUCUCAGGUUGGUUUUCGUUCUAUAUUUUUGCCAAAUUUGUCCAUGAAACAUUCAGGUUGGUUUAAAUCUAAAACCCAGUUUGUUGCUUCUCUCUAACCCGAGCUCUCCACAAGGUCGAAUUGCAAGAAAUACUUGCUUUGAUAUCUGAGAUUUACUGGAAAUAGAUAAUUCAAUCAUUUCAUUUCGAGAAUACAUAAGCCACCACUGAUUCAUUUCAGCUAGAGGCGGGAAAGGAAGACUAGGAAGAGGUACAGCUCCUCCGGUAAGAGAGCUUCCAAUAAUGCAAUGUUAAUGACGAAUAUGAUUUUUUUGACAAGUAGCCAUGGGUAAAGAGAAGUCACCCAUCAACAUUGUGGUCAUUGGCCACGUUGACUGCUCACCUGAUCUACAAUCUUGGUGGUACUAACAAGUGUGUGAUUGAGAGCUUCGAGAAGGAAGCUGAUGAUAUGUACAAGAUGUCCUUCAAGUAUGUGUGGGUGUUGAGUAUCACCACUAAUAUUGCUCUCCGAAAUUUUGAGACCACCAAGUAGUACUGCACUGUCAUUGAUGCUCCUGGACAUCUUAAUUUCAUCAAGAACAUGAUUGGAGGAAUAGAGGUACUUCCACGUUGAUUGUGCUGUUCUUAUCAUUGACUGCACCACUGUGGUUUUGAAGCUGGUACUUGACUCCACCACUGUGGUUUUGAAGCUGGUAGCUCUGAUGACGAACAAACCUGUUAGCACCCUCGGCCUUCUUUCACCCUUGGUGCAAGCAAAUGAUUUGCUGCUAUCUAUUUUCCAUUGCUUACUAUGAAUAUGUUCUUUUGAUACGAUGCUAAAACGGAUGCAUGUUUAGUUUGUUAAAAAAUCUAAUCAAUCUUUAGAAUGUUUUGA